ACCAAAGCUGGCAUCCUUAUCAACUCCACCCAACCAAAGCUGGCAUCCUUUUUUUCUCUGAGCCCAGGUGGGCAGCCACGUUGCUAGUCGGCUCUCUCUGGGGCCUCUCAUCCCCUUAACUAGAGACCAAUAGCACCUUGGAGAGUAUGGGUCUUGCUUUAGAGUCCUGUUGAGUUCUUCCCUUGGUGGCCAAUUUAAAGUAGCUACAUUCAAAUUUUAUUUAUUUUUUUGACCAACACCACAGUGCUCCAGGUGCCAGCAGAGAUGAGUUUUAUCCUUGCUACAAGCUUCUGGUCUUCGAUAUCCAACUGAAACAGAGUUUAAGGAGUUUUGGGUUCCCCUGGAUCC
rnacentral:lncRNA from 1 species